UGGGCGAUAUUUUUCUAAGUGCGGGAAUCGAUAGUAGCUUUAAAGUAUGGCAACUCCCCCACCCUAUUUAUUCUAGUGCAUUUAGUUGAAUUGAACGUGUUGAAUUGCAUUUUAACAAAAGAAAUCUACUAAUAAUACUAAUUAUAAUUAGUGGGUAGAAUUACUAGAAUAAAGAAGAAAUUGUCGCAUUGUUUUGAUGUUUAUAAUCAACAAGGAGUGAUUUUUCCACCUACGACGACUUCAUUAGGGCCAUCCGGGAUGGAAUAAGGAGAGCCAAAAAUAAAAAUUAUAAGGAAAAAUCCAAAAAAAACAAAGAAAAUU
rnacentral:sRNA from 1 species